rnacentral:rRNA from 1 species
UACGUAGGGGCGAGCGUUGUCCGGAAUUACUGGGCGUAAAGGGCGCGCAGGCUGUUAUGCGAGUCUGCUGUGAAAUGUACCGGCUCAACCGGCGCCUUGCGGCGGAUACUGCAUAGCUGGAGUACUGGAGAGGAGAGUGGAAUUCCAUGUGUAGCGGUGAAAUGCGCAGAGAUAUGGAGGAACACCAGUGGCGAAGGCGGCUUCCUGGUCUGUAACUGACACUGAGGCGCGAAAGCGUGGGGAGCAAACA